rnacentral:rRNA from 1 species
UACGGGGGGGGGCAAGCGUUGUUCGGAAUUACUGGGCGUAAAGGGCUCGUAGGCGGCCAACUAAGUCAGACGUGAAAUCCCUCGGCUUAACCGGGGAACUGCGUCUGAUACUGGAUGGCUUGAGGUUGGGAGAGGGAUGCGGAAUUCCAGGUGUAGCGGUGAAAUGCGUAGAUAUCUGGAGGAACACCGGUGGCGAAGGCGGCAUCCUGGACCAGUUCUGACGCUGAGGAGCGAAAGCCAGGGGAGCAAAGCGGG